rnacentral:lncRNA from 1 species
GCGGGGGUAAACAUGUUUAUGAGAUCUCAACCCCCCCUAUACCUCUAGCCAAUGUAGAAAAGUAAAAGAAUAACAAUACGCACAUUAAAAUUCAGUUCAAGAGAAGUCCGAGUCUGAUGUCAAAAGAUGUAACAAAAGAAAAUAAAUAAAAUGACAAUAAUACAUAAAUAACAACAGACUACUAGCAGUUAACUGACAUGCCAGCUCCAGAUCUCAAUUAAACUGAUUGAAAGAUUAUGUCUUCAUCAUAUGAAUAUCAGGUACAAUCCCUCCCGUUAGG